rnacentral:rRNA from 1 species
AUUGAACGCUGGCGGCAUGCUUUACACAUGCAAGUCGAACGGCAGCGCGGGCUUCGGCCUGGCGGCGAGUGGCGAACGGGUGAGUAAUGCAUCGGAACGUGCCCAGUAGUGGGGGAUAGCCCGGCGAAAGCCGGAUUAAUACCGCAUACGACCUGAGGGUGAAAGCGGGGGACCGAAAGGCCUCGCGCUAUUGGAGCGGCCGAUGUCGGAUUAGCUAGUUGGUGGGGUAAAGGCUUACCAAGGCGACGAUCCGUAGCUGGUCUGAGAGGACGACCAGCCACACUGGGACUGAGACACGGCCCAGACUCCUACGGGAGGCAGCAGUGGGGAAUUUUGGACAAUGGGGGCAACCCUGAUCCAGCCAUGCCGCGUGCGGGAAGAAGGCCUUCGGGUUGUAAACCGCUUUUGUUCGGGAAGAAAUCCUCUGGGCUAAUACCCCGGGGGGAUGGCGGUACCGGAAGAAUAAGCACCGGCUAACUACGU